GCGGGCGUAGCUCAGUGGCAGAGCACCGGCCUUCCAAGCCGGUUGUCGCGGGUUCGAUCCCCGCCGCCCGCUCCA
rnacentral:tRNA from 2 species